AAUUCUCAACCUUUUCAACUUUUUUCAAAAGUUGGAUAAGGCUUGGAUAGUGGGAGUGUCUGCGGGCUUCUCAGAAGUCUGCUCUCCUUAAAUGUAUUAGCAGGAUCCUUGUAUUGCUUUUGGUGUGAUAAUUAUCUACGCCAUAACAUGACAGGUGGAUAUACUGCUUCUAACCGUCUCGAUCAUGAGACAGCUUUGACA
rnacentral:misc_RNA from 1 species